AAAGUCGUAACAAGGUCUCCGUAGGUGCAACUGUGGAAGAAUCAUUAAAAAAUGCUUCUAGCAUACCAAUUGUGAACAGUUUGAGUCUUUGGACUCUACCUUACACCUGCUGAACUGACGAUUCAUGAAUGCGAGAAACGUGAACUUUUAGCAACGGAUCUCUUGGCUCUC
rnacentral:misc_RNA from 1 species